CGUACACUCCUGCGGGAGGCAGCAGUGGGGAAUAUUGCACAAUGGGCGCAAGCCUGAUGCAGCCAUGCCGCGUGUAUGAAGAAGGCCUUCGGGUUGUAAAGUACUUUAAGCGGGGAGGAAGGCAAUACGGUUAAUAACCGUGUUGAUUGACGUUACCCGCAGAAGAAGCACCGGCUAACUCCGUGCCAGCAGCCGCGGUAAUACGGAGGGUGCAAGCGUUACUCGGAAUUACUGAGCGUAAAGCGCACGCAGGCGGUCUGUCAAGUCGGAUGUGAAAUCCCCGGGCUCAACCUGGGAACUGCAUUCGAAACUGGCAGGCUUGAGUCUUGUAGAGGGGGGUAUAAUUCCAGGUGUAGCGGUGAAAUGCGUAGAGAUCUGGAGGAAUACCGGUGGCGAAGGCGGCCCCCUGGACAAAGACUGACGCUCAGGUGCGAAAGCGUGGGGAGCAAACAGGAGUAGAAUCCCUUGUAGUCCCAU
rnacentral:rRNA from 1 species